AAAAAUGUGAGGUUAAAAAUGCUUGAACCAGCGUUAAACCGCCGAACAUCGACCGCUCAGCUGAACCCGGGCUUAAACCGAGCUCAAGCUUAAACUUUGUAUGUACAACGCACUUCUUGCCCUGAACUCGGUAAUGGCGCUGAGCCGGAGUUGAACCUCGAUUGUACAACCGGGCCUUAGUGUUACACUUUUGAGUGUAAGUGUAAGAAAUUCUAUGGACAUUUGAGUGUAAAAUGACAGCGGAUGUGACAGCGGCUCAUGACAGCGGACAGUAUUAAACGAAAAUUAUCGGUGUGCCAAUCAAGCAAAGGAACAAGGAACUUCCGAAUAUGGCCUAACUGGGGGCACAUAACAUAACCUAAUCCUAAUAUUUACAUUUGUAAAGAAUAUCCUGUUUGUUUUUAUUGUCGAUUGUGCAGCGAAAUUGUGAUAGCAAAUCAAAUAUAAAGUAGUUUAUCGCCUACAGAACUGAAUUAGUCCAUAGCAGUUAUCAGUUUUUCUUUCUUGGGAAGCUUAUACAUGUAACUUUUAUUGUUGUAAAUUGUGGGAGUAGGGCAGACAGGGAAAAGUCUUAUUUUGUACUGUUCCCAAGGCUCCCCAUGCAAUACAUUUAAAUGAAUUAUCCAAACAAAGCCGGGGACAAUGGAUAAAAGCCACAAGAAGAACAGAUAUAAGGGAACUAAAAUUAAAAUAUGAAAAGUAAACAUUUUAUAAGUGGAACAACCACCAGAUAUUUAAAAGGUAUAAAAAGAAGAAACUGCUGGAAUUUCAAAACAAAUGUGUUUGACUAGUAAAGAUUUGGAUAAAUAACAGGAGUUACUUUGGGCUAUAGCUACGUGCAGAUUUAUUUCCUUGUGGCUUCCUAUGUUAAUUCUUGUUAAUUAUACACUUAAAUAUGUUUUUAGUCUCAGGAAGAUUUUAUAUUUGAUUAUUUUUGAAUAAACAUUAUUAUUAUUAUUACCUUAAUUUCCAUUAAAUAAAUUGACUGUAAUCAAUAAAGUAAUCGUUUAAUUGUUAAUAAAUUAUCAAGUAUGA